ACGAACCAAGCGAACGUUAUUCGGAAUUACUGGGCUUAAAGCGCGUGUAGGCGGACUGCCACGUCGGUUGUUGAAAUCCCCCGGCUUAACCGGGGAACAGGCACCGAUACGAGUAGUCUUGAGGUGGGUAGGGGAGACUGGAACUUCCGGUGGAGCGGUGAAAUGCGUUGAGAUCGGAAGGAACGCCCGCGGCGAAAGCGAGUCUCUGGCCCCAUACUGACGCUGAGACGCGAAAGCCAGGGGAGCAAACGGG
rnacentral:rRNA from 1 species